rnacentral:rRNA from 1 species
GAAUGCAACGCCCAUUCCCGUCCGAUCUGCAAAUUAAGCAACGUUGAGUCCAGUUAGUACUUGGAUCGGAGACGGCCUGGGAAUCCUGGAUGUUGUAAGCU